UUUAGAAGUAUAAAUAACUUUUUAAGACAACCCCUGGCCAACAGAAAUCAACCUUAUAUGGACAUAAAUGAUAAUUUAUUGUAUAAAAAUUACAACUUGCAAAACAUAUAUAGCAGCUUGCUUCUCGGCAUUUAUGAAAAAAAUACUCAUAUUGUAAUAAUGGUUUAACAGAAUUUUCAAAAAAUAUAUAUAUAUUCUGAAUUUUUCUGAUUUUUCUGAACCAGCUUUGAUUUUUGAAACCAACAUGUAUAGCAAACGAUCAUAUUACAGACUUGAAUCUUUAAUUCCAUGUCCUAAACGUGAUCCCAAAAAAUGUGAUUUCCAUCGCCUAAAGUGGCGUUGUUAAGUUGUAUUUCCUCUUGUAGCCACAUGAGGACAGCACACAUCUGUUGAUAUCUGGUUGAUAUCUGCCAUAAUGCGAUGCUUACAAAUGAACUGUCCAGAGCAGGUUGCCUUCAAAAAAAAAGUGUCUGCAAAACAACACGUACGCCCAAGUGAAGGCGGUUUAAAAACUAAACCGGAGCAUCCAGCAGUGGGAACGCCCACUACAACCAGCAAAACAGCGACCUUUGACCUCCAGCAGUUGUUGAACAUGUUAAACACCUAUAAUCUAUAAAAACCCUUUGAAUGACUGUAUAACUGCAGCCGAAGAGGACUGUGUGUGUG